rnacentral:rRNA from 1 species
GACGAACGCUGGCGGCGUGCUUAACACAUGCAAGUCGAGCGGAGCGGCGAACGGGUGAGUAACGCGUGAGUAAAUGCCCCCCUCUCUGGGCUAACAGUUGGAAACGGCUGCUAAUACCGGAUAGUGGGGGAUGACUCGCGUCCUAUCAGCUUGUUGCUGGGGUAGUGGCCUACCAAGGCAACGACGGGUAGCCGGGCUGAGAGGGCGACCGGUCACAUUGGGCUGAGACGUGGCCCAGACUCCGGCGGGAGGCAGCAGUGGGGAAUGGUGCACUAUGGGUGUAACCCUGAUGCAGGAACGCCGCGGGCGGGAUUACGGCCUGCGUGUUGUAAGCCGCUUUCAACCAUGACGCGGUAGUGGCAGAUGAAGCACCGGCUAACUACGUGCCAGCAGCCGCGGUAAUUC